rnacentral:tRNA from 1 species
GUUUUUGUAGUUGAAUAACAACGGUGGUUUUUCAAGCCAUCAGUCUUGGUUAAAGUCCGGGCAAAAAUU